GACGUAGGGGGCCAGCGUUGUUCGGAAUUACUGGGUGUAAAGGGUUCGUAGGCGGUGCGGCAAGUCGGGAGUGAAAUCUCUGGGCUUAACCCAGAGGCUGCUUCCGAAACUGCUGUGCUUGAGUGUGGGAGAGGCGCGUGGAAUUGCAGGUGUAGCGGUGAAAUGCGUAGAUAUCUGCAGGAACACCCGUGGCGAAAGCGGCGCGCUAGACCACUACUGACGCUGAGGAACGAAAGCUAGGGGAGCAAACAGG
rnacentral:rRNA from 1 species